AUUGAACGCUGGCGGCAUGCUUUACACAUGCAAGUCGAACGGCAGCGCGGGCUUCGGCCUGGCGGCGAGUGGCGAACGGGUGAGUAAUGCAUCGGAACGUGCCCAGUAGUGGGGGAUAGCCCGCCGAAAGCCGGAUUAAUACCGCAUACGACCUGAGGGUGAAAGCGGGGGACCGAAAGACCUCGCGCUAUCGGAGCGGCCGAUGUCGGAUUAGCUAGUUGGUGGGGUAAAGGCUUACCAAGGCGACGAUCCGUAGCUGGUCUGAGAGGACGAUCAGCCACACUGGGACUGAGACACGGCCCAGACUCCUACGGGAGGCAGCAGUGGGGAAUUUUGGACAAUGGGGGAAACCCUGAUCCAGCCAUGCCGCGUGCGGGAAGAAGGCCUUCGGGUUGUAAAGCGCUUUUGUUUGGGAAGAAAGGCUCUGGGCUAAUACCCCGGGGGGAUGACGUUACCGGAAGAAUAAGCACCGGCUAACUACGUG
rnacentral:rRNA from 1 species